ensembl:lncRNA
GGGAGGGGUGGAGGGGAGGGUCUGGCUAGAAGGAGCAAGAGAAGCCGCACCCCAGCCCCACGUGUGCACUCGGACGUGCCUGAAGUCGAAGGAAGGUGCAGAGCGGAGUGGAGGCCGCAGGGAGAGGUCCACGCCCCGUCUCAGUGCAGGUUCCUACAAGAAAUUCAAGCAUGGCUGUGGUUGGUUUCCACUCGGCUUCGCUGAAAACCUGCAAACAAGAGCCCACACGUCGUCCUCAAGUCAAGGACAACGAUGAUGCUUGCUCAGCUGCCAUCAGCCCCAGAGAUUCUGAACGGGCACAGUGGGUGGAGAUAAUCCCAGUUAGAGCGAAGAAGCCUGAUGUCGCAGGUAGCCCGUGGUGGCCUGGCCAGCAGUAAAGCGGUUCGUGUUUUAAGACCACGGUUGCAUUCCCACCCAGAGAUGCCCAGCUCUGAGGCCGGGUACCGAGGAUACCGCCAGCACGAGGAGUGCAGAGUUCAAGGGCGCAGUGUGGCCCAUGUGCCGGUGGGCUGCGAGCUGAUGAGCUGGAGCUACAGAGUUUGGGAACGAAAAUCUGAGUCCAAAAUGGUCCCCAAAUAGGCUGAGGUCCACCGCCAGACACUGGCCCGGAGCCCUGAUCAAUACCGUUGAUUGUAAGACCGGUGGGACCAGAGGGGACCCAGGGCAAAGCGGCCCCACAACUGGAAAAAGAGGCCAGAGGGACUGUGCGCUGGGGGAGGCGGCCGUCUUGUCUUUGUAUCCAGCGCCUCAGGCCACACUCUGAAUAUCAGGCUGGGAGUGUUUUUGUUUUCAUAAAUGGGCACAAUUGUUUAAUGUGCCCGAGGAGCCUGCUGCCAUGAUGGUUUGCCUGUGUUUCCCAGAGUGCUCUGAGGCGGUGAGGCCAGAGUUCCACAGAGACUCCUGGGAAAUGCUGGGUUAGGAGAACGCUGGGCUUCGUUGCCCAGCGGGGCCUGUGCUUGAUGUACCAAGGAGCACUGAGACUCUCGAGUAAGAGACUGAAGUGCACAGUCUGCUCACACUCGUGGGCCGUGGUUUUCCAGAGCAUAGCCUGCGAUAAGUAUUCCAAGGACUACACUUUGGGAAGCCAGUCAAUGAAAGGCCCUGGUAGCUAAAAGCUCUCCCUGUUCCUGUAUUAGUUACCUCCUGCUGUGUAACAAAUCACCCCAAACUUAGUGGCUUAGAACAAUAAGCAUCUAUUAUCUCAGAGUUUCUGUGGGUCACGAAUUCAGAAGUGGUGUCACUGGCUGGUUCCGGCUCCUGGUCUCUUUGGAGGUUGAAGUCAAGGGGUCGGCUGGGGCUGCCAUCAUCUGACGGCUUGACUGGAGCUGGAGGACGGGCUUCAAAGACGGUGCCCUCGCAGGGCUGGCAAGGUGGCGCUUGCCAUUGUCAGAGGCCUCGGUUCCUCGCCACAGGGACCUCUCUGUGGGGCCGCUUGAGUCUCUUCACUAUAUGGCGGCUGGUUUCCCCCAGAGCAAUGCAAGAGAGCAAGACGGAAGCCACCGUGCCUUCUGUGACCCAGCCUUGGAUGGUCCCUGCAGUCAUUUCUGCGGUGUCCUAUUGCUCACCCAGGGCAGCCCUGUUCGUUGUGGGAGGAGCCAGAGAGGUGUGAACACAGGAGGCAGGAAUCAUCGGAGAACAUCUUGCAGGCUGACUACCAAGGUAACCAUGACUCAGGACAAGGACGGAUAACUUGCCUCAUCCCCCAGCUGGUUUCUCACCCUUUAGUGCCAGUUGGUGAGUGAGGACUGAACCUGCUCACCUGUGCUGUGAAGGCGGGAAGAAGAGGUCUGGGACUUAUCAGCCACGCCCAGCCCCAGGGAACAGCAGCAAUAACAAUCAUCCAGCCCCUUUGGGGGAGCGCUCACCCCAUGCCAGGUGCCUCCCGGACAUCACGGCCGCUGCACAAUCCUUGUCCCCAAGCAGUAGCUUCCACCAAUAUUUCCAAAUCAGGCCACUCAUUCUAUGAAAUGCAUAAAAUGAGAUUUUUUUCGUGAUAACGGCUAUAGCCACACCAGCAGCUCUGCCUUCUGGAAGUUCAGAGACAAACUCCUGGCCCAGGUGAGCCCAGCUGGAGAUUGGAGUGGAGAGCAAACUGGGGUGGGUUAGAUGCUGAAGAUAAACAGAUAAUAGGGGAGAUGAAAGCUUUAUUUCAUGGACAGUCGCAGACGAGGAGUCAGGGCGAGCCGGGGGGAUCUUUGCUUUAUGGAGCCUCGUUGCUGUGACAAGUGGUCACAUCCCCAGGCUGGGAGGCCGUGAGGCCCGGGGGUGAGGAGCGUGCACCUGGUGCGUCCCGGGCCUGCCCAUGUCUGUUACUCGCUGUGUGACCCAGGCAAGUGACUUCAUGGUCCUCAGUUUCCCUUCUAUAAAAUGGGGUGAUGAUGGCGAACUCCUCCCGUCAUGAUGAGGAUUCAGAAGGUUCCGGAAUGCUUUUUCAUGGCCGAGCUGAUGGUGGGUCAUAGAGGUGGUGGCCCCCAGGUUCGAAGAACUCUUGUAGAAAUGCCAUUGCCUGGAAGGAGGCUCGGUCACGCUUAUGACCAAGAAUGGACCCAUCGGCUGCUGCCCAGGGAUCCUGCAGGGUGACCCCUGGGACCUGGAAGGAACCCAGCCCCCCUUCUGCUGGGGGCAUGUGCGGCCGUGGAGCCGGCCAGGCCCCUUCCUGUCCUGUCGGGGCACAAUUUCAACAGAGGGAGCGUCCUUGGCGUGUUUUGCCCUCUCAGCUCGCAGCCGCUGAGCAGGACCUGGGGAGUCCCAGCCAAAGGCCAGGCCAGGAGACGACCCUUGGAAAGCAGGACGCAGACCUGCGCCCCCAUCCUGCAGCCUGGGCCCGGGCCCAUGGAGGUGUUUGGGCUGUAGGUGCUCAAGGCGGGUCCUUGGGGCCAGGCUGGCCUGGGGGCACUUGGCUCCAUCCCUCAGAGCUGUGUGACUCUGGGCGAGUGCCUCCACCUCCCAGGACCUCGGUUUCCCCAUCCCUAACAUCUGCGGCUGGGCUGGCCUGCUGGCCCUCAGUGGGUUUGGAGGAGCCCGGGGCUGGCCAGGAGGGCCCGGCGCCCACGUGGGUGUGUACGGGGUGGACCCAGACCACCCCUUUCCUCUCCAAUCGGGCAGCUCCGUUUAACCGCUGGUAUGUUGGUGUUCUGAGUAAUACCUCAUUUAAAAAAGAAGGAGGAGAAAGAAAAGGAAACGUUCUCCAGCGAAAGAAUACAGUCCAGAAGUUUCCGCUAACUUACUUUGUCCCUUGGCUCAUUCCUUCACGCUCUGAGGGGGCAGAGACGCGGACUCCCUCCGCCAGCUAGGUUCAGCGACCGUCCGUUUCCAAACGGUUCCUGGUUUUCUGGAUUUGAAUCUCUGGUUCUUUCAGCCUCUGUGAAGGCCCAUGAGAGAGGGAGACCAGAAGGGGGCUUGGGUUGAGGGUCCUCAGAGGUUCUGGGGUCUCCUCUGUGGGUGCCAAGGUCACAGUGGGCUGGGCCUCCUCUCGGGCCACGCGCCGUGGGCAUCUCAGAUGCAUGCCCCUCGGCCCCCGGACCGGGCACACCCACGGGGCCGGCCCAGCGCUGCCCCUCCACCUGUACUGGCAGCCUCAGCCGGCCUUGCUGCCUCUGGGGCUGCUUCUUCCUCUGUGAAGUGAGGAGGCAGUGGGCCCAAUGAUCUCUCAGCCCCUUCUAACUUCAACGCUCUAACUGCUGCAUUUAUUGAGCUCCGGCUGUCUGCAGAGUGGCCUCUGGGGUGUGGGGGGGCGGACCCCAGCCCGGGACAGGAGCCCGCCUGCUGCCUCCAGCUGGCCUGGGAAUGGUGGAGCUCAGAGUGGCCCUCCCAGCCUCAGGAGACCCCAGGCCAGGCCCAGCUGCCAGGCUGCCAUUUGAAAGGCCUCCUGUUGGUGGCACUUUGGCAUGGUUUGGGUGCUCUGUCUUAGAGCAGAUCUGGUUUGUCCCUGAAAACACGCUGGCUCCCUCUCCGUCAAGGUUCUGUUUUUCUCUCCAGGGAAUUUCAGUGCCUCGAGCUAGACUGGACCAUGUGAUUCCCCAGGUGAAACCCUUCCGUGGCUCCUCACUGCCCUCAAAGACAGUCCAAGCCUGGGAGUGUCCCAGGGCCUUCUGGGGCCCGGCACAGGCCAAGCUCUCCCUCCUGGGGGCUCUCCACCCCUCACCCUCUCUCCUCCAGACACACAGACUAGACCGUGUCCACUUCUGUCUUCUCUCUAGAGCCUCACGCUUGCUCUCCUCUGCCUGGAAUCCUCGCUCUCUCCUCUUAAGGCUGGCUAAAUGUCACUUCCUCCAGGAAGCCCUCCCUGCCUAACUGCGCCUUGAGUUCUUGCUCAGGCUCACACCAUCCUUCUCCUUCGCAUCACUGCUCAUGGCGGUGAUCUCAGAUUGCCAGUGUAUCUGGAGCGCGGGCUGUGGGAUUUUCAUGCCUCGUACCCGGCGUAGGCCCGGCCCCCAGGGGCAGCUCUGGAAAGCUCUGCUGAGCAAAUCCAGGCCUGGAGACUGUGUGCGCACGACCUGCAGCCUGUUGGUCCAAGUUGGCAACCAGAGGCCAGCUGGGGCCGCCAGCCAUUCCCCUGCGGGUCACUCGGGGCCUAGAAAGCCCGGUGGCCAGCGCACAGCCGUCCUCGGGCCGCUGCCUGGAAGGAGGGAAGGGGUUAAGCGUUUCUGGGCCUCGUGCUGUGUCUGCGGCAGUUCCCUUCCGCAGCAACGGAGGUUGGGGAGGAAUGUUUGCAAUGCAGCGCAGGGCGGGGGGAGG